AAAGAAAUGAAAUUCACUCCGAGAAAAUCUUCUUAAAUCCUUCGAAAAAAUCACUGGUUGAUAUUUACUGCAGUAAAUCUGAAACUAUAAUCUCGGUUGGCGUUAAACAGCAGUUAUUGGUUAGGCUAGGUUAUUUUAAGAUAAACAACGAUUUUCCCUUCUUCCUUCAAACGAAAUCGCAGUACGACAUAAUUCAUAGUUUUCACGAGAGUUAAAAAUUGUGUAUUUGGGAUUUUAAUAUUUUUUUUCGGUUGGAAUAGGCAUUGUUGGUUACCUUCUAUUGUCGUUUAGACUCUCUCUAACUUAGAAUACAAAAAAAAAUAUCAGAAAUUUAUUUUCAAAUUUGAUGAGAAAGUUUUUAAGAAAACCGAAAAAUAACCUCCUUAAAGUAUCUCCCCACGCCGAUUAUCUUUCAGAAAAGAUGUUAUACGCAGAAAUCUGAGUAAGUCUUCUGGUAGAAAUGUUACGCACAGAUAAAAACAAAUAAUAAUAUAAAAACAUCUUUGUAAAACUAUAAGCUUCUUCUUAAAUAUUAAAAUAUUAAAUAAAUAUUCUUAAAUGAUCGAAAAACUGUGAUGAAAAAACGAUAAAAAUUAUUUAAAAAAUGUAUAAAAAGUUAUUAAUUAAUUAACCUUACCUGACUUAACGUAUUAAGUUCACAAAUAAUCGCGAGACAGGUAAAUCGUCCACUAUUGUAAUGAUAACAAAAAUAGUAUAAAAAUUGUUCUAUACAAAUUUAAAACGGGAAGUUAGAAAGGUAUAUGACGGUUUAAUAAUAAGAGCGAUAUACUUAAUAAUAUAUGGAAUGUAGUGAUAAAUCAUUGUAUAAAAAUGAUUCCGAGGAAAAUUACGUU